GGAGGAAUACCCAAGUCCGGCUGAAGGGAUCGGUCUUGAAAACCGACAGGGGCUUAACGGCUCGAGGGGGUUCGAAUCCCUCUUCCUCCGCCA
rnacentral:tRNA from 1 species